ensembl:lncRNA
GCAAAAACCAAAACCAUGUGAAUAUCCCACCUCUGUCAAACCAUUUAAACAUUAACUGAGCUUUUUAUAUCAGGUACAAGAGGUUUGCAGAGCAGGUGAUCGAAGAGGGACACAAGGAAGCAGAGAUUAGGAGAGAGGAGGCAAAAGAGGAGGUGCAGAGGAGAGUGAAGGUGGUGACACAGGAGGUGCAGAGCUUGAGCAGGAGAAAGGAGGAGGUGACAGUGUGUCAGAUGAGCAAAGAGAGAAAGGCUGCACAUGGAUGAGCAGGUUCAACACAAUAAACAACAGCAGACACGUGGUGUGUGUGCGGGUGUCUGCCUCUUAUAACCACAGUGAUUCUCCUGUGGUUUGAAAUCUCACGUGAUCUUGUGACGUGAUCACGAGUCCAAACACUAACAGGUCACCUCAACAAGAACAGAUUCAAUCCUAAUGAUUUAGUUACCAUAGAAACAUGAAAUGAUUUGGUUGACAGCACAUGUCAGACUGUUGUAAACGUCACAGCCACACACUCACACUUUCUGAGAGUUUUUAACAUGAUGGAUGUGAAACACUGAGUGAUGCUUCAUCACAUUCACACUCACAGCUCCUCUGUCAGUGUCUCAGCUCUGCUGGCAGCCUGGAGUCACCUGUAACAUGACUGUGGGCUGAUGCUGAACUCUGACUCUUAUAUGUGUGUUAUUAACCUCAGAGCUGCUCAAACUGAGGGAGGCGGGACUUACAGCAAAGGAAGUGAUGUCAGAGAAUAAAAAGCCUUUUAGUCCUGAGUGAGCGACAGGUUU